rnacentral:rRNA from 1 species
UCCUGAAUUCAGCGGCGGACGGGUGAGUAAUGCCUAGGAAUCUGCCUGGUAGUGGGGGACAACGUUUCGAAAGGAACGCUAAUACCGCAUACGUCCUACGGGAGAAAGCAGGGGACCUUCGGGCCUUGCGCUAUCAGAUGAGCCUAGGUCGGAUUAGCUAGUUGGUGAGGUAAUGGCUCACCAAGGCGACGAUCCGUAACUGGUCUGAGAGGAUGAUCAGUCACACUGGAACUGAGACACGGUCCAGACUCCUACGGGAGGCAGCAGUGGGGAAUAUUGGACAAUGGGCGAAAGCCUGAUCCAGCCAUGCCGCGUGUGUGAAGAAGGUCUUCGGAUUGUAAAGCACUUUAAGUUGGGAGGAAGGGCAGUAACUUAAUACGUUGCUGUUUGACGUUACCGACAGAAUAAGCACCGGCUAACUCUGUGCCAGCAGCCGCGGUAAUACAAAGGGUGCAAGCGUUAAUCGGAAUUACUGGGCGUAAAGCGCGCGUAGUGGUUUGUAAGUGGAAGUGAAAGCCCCGGGCUCAACCUGGGAACUGCUUUCAAAUUACAAGCUAGAGU